GACGAACGCUGGCGGCGUGCUUAACACAUGCAAGUCGAACGGUGAAGGGGUCUGCUUUUGUGGGCCCUGGAUGAGUGGCGAACGGGUGAGUAACACGUGAGUAACCUGCCCCCUUCUUCUGGAUAACCGCAUGAAAGUGUGGCUAAUACGGGAUAUUCUGGGUCUGUCGCAUGAUGGGUCUGGGAAAGAUUGCGCCUUUGGGUGUUUUUGGUGGGGGAUGGGCUCGCGGCCUAUCCGCUUGUUGGUGGGGUGAUGGCCUACCAAGGCGGUGACGGGUAGCCGGCCUGAGAGGGUGGACGGUCACACUGGGACUGAGACACGGCCCAGACACCUACGGGAGGCAGCAGUGGGGAAUAUUGCACAAUGGGCGCAAGCCUGAUGCAGCGACGCCGCGUGAGGGAUGGAGGCCUUCGGGGUGUAAACCUCUUUCGCCAGUGAAGCAGGCCUGCUCCUUGUGGGUGGGUUGACGGUAGCUGGAUAAGAAGCGCCGGCUAACUACGUG
rnacentral:rRNA from 1 species